rnacentral:lncRNA from 1 species
AUGCAGAUCCUUUAUGUUAUCCUCAUUUUCUUAGGUCACCUGUCUACUACAUACCCAAAGAUGUGUCCCAGGCCAAUUUCUAGACUCCCUCCAAGCAGCAGUGCAUUGUGGAUGUUCCCUUCAGCUUUGGUCACCUGUCUACUACAUACCCAAAGAUGUGUCCCAGGCCAAUUUCUAGACUCCCUCCAAGCAGCAGUGCAUUGUGGAUGUUCCCUUCAGCUUUGGUAAGUGGAGAUAUGUUUCUUCUGCACAGCUUUUAAAGCAUACAGCAGCCCUGCUCCUUCCCAGGUAAUUUAGAGCCCCUCCCUCAGACACACCCCAAAUCAGAGACAUUGGUCAGCAUUUCUUCUUAACUUGGCAGAUAUUCACACAUUUCUAAAAAGCGUGAAUGCUGGGGAGAUUAAGGGAAUCUUUGCAUAAUUGCAAUCAUGUACAGGCAAUACCCUUUAAUGGCCCAAGAUGUCCUCCAUCAGGAUGUUGACUCCAAUUGACCAUAGCAACAUAUCUCACAGAUGGGCAUCAUAUACUGCUGGAAUGAUAACAAAGAAGAAUCACAUCUGCAGAGAUAGCCAUAGAUUGAGCACUUGUAUGGUUUUCAAUUCAGGCAUUUGGACUGACUCCACUGACUACUGUGGCUACACAGAUGAGACUACCCCAAAGUGAAGCACUUAUUGCCACAUUUCAGAAUUAGUGCUGCCAUUUGAAGUGAUCUCAAUGUGUUGUUUAGUCAGAAGCAAGAUUGGCCCAACAUGCUAGAUCAGAUGUAUGUCCCAGAUGUAAAAGUCACUUGAAACUACCCCAACAAAUAGCACUUACCAACUAAUCAACACAGGCCAAUGCCAUUGUUAGGGUACUGAUUGUGACACAGAUAGGAUGCAACUUCUUUAUGCCAUCAUCGUUUUUGCUUAUGUCAAAGGAGCCUACAUACUCAGCAGUGAAAACAAAGGGUGCCUGGCAUGGAACUGAGGAAUAAUCUCUAUCAAGCUACCCCAAAGAGAAGCACUUAUUUAUAAACUUUUCAAAAUGAAUGCCUCUGUUUGAGGAAACUUUACAGAAAAACAAAUUUGAGCCUGGAAAGAAUGGACAUAUGGUAUAGAAUGUCUUUCUACCUGAGAGACCAUGGCUUUAAUCCAGACCAACACCCCAACUUGAUAGCACUUUCUUUGACAUUUGAUGAGAGAGUUACUAGAGUUGAGGUAUCAGUCUGUCUCCUUUCUCUGAGGCAUCU